rnacentral:rRNA from 1 species
CUACGUAGGGAGCGAGCGUUGUCCGGAAUUACUGGGUGUAAAGGGUGCGUAGGCGGGAUGGCAAGUCAGAUGUGAAAUGCCGGGGCUCAACCCCGGAGCUGCAUCCAAUACUGGAGAGCUAGAGUGCAGGAGAGGCAAGCGGAAUUCCUAGUGUAGCGGUGAAAUGCGUAGAUAUUAGGAGGAACACCAGUGGCGAAGGCGGCUUACUGGACUGUAACUGACACUGAGGCACGAAAGCGUGGGGAGCAAACAGGAUUAGAUACCCUGGUAGUCCACGCUGUAAACGAUGAAUACUAGGUGUAGGGGGUAUCAACUCCCUCUGUGCCGCAGCAAACGCAAUAAGUAUUCCGCCUGGGGAGUACGGCCGCAAGGUUGAAACUCAAAUGAAUUGACGGGG